rnacentral:rRNA from 1 species
GACGAACGCUGGCGGCGUGCUUAACACAUGCAAGUCGAACGCUGAAGCUCAGCUUUUGUUGGGUGGAUGAGUGGCGAACGGGUGAGUAACACGUGAGUAACCUGCCUCCUUCUUUGGGAUAACGCCCGGAAACGGGUGCUAAUACUGGAUAUUCACUGGUCUUCGCAUGGGGGUUGGUGGAAAGGGUUGAGGUGGUGGGGGAUGGUCUCGCGGCCUAUCAGCUUGUUGGUGGGGUGGUGGCCUACCAAGGCUUUGACGGGUAGCCGGCCUGGGGGGGUGACGGGCCAGAUUGGGACUGAGAUACGGCCAGGAGCCGUACGGGGGGCAGCAGUGGGGAAUAUGGCAGAAUGGGCGGACGCCUGAUGCAGAAACGCGGCGUGCGGGAUGAUGGGCUUCGGGUUGUAAACCGCUUUAGCCUGUGAAGAAGCGUGAGUGACGGUAAUGGGUAAAGAAGCACCGGCUAACUACGUG